GGGUGUAUAGCUCAGUGGCAGAGUGAGUGCAUACUUAGCAUGCAUGAGGUCCUAGGUUCAAGCCCCAGUGCCUCCA
rnacentral:tRNA from 1 species